rnacentral:rRNA from 1 species
ACGCUCGACACCUACGGGAGGCAGCAGUAGGGAAUCUUCCACAAUGGACGCAAGUCUGAUGGAGCAACGCCGCGUGAGUGAAGAAGGUUUUCGGAUCGUAAAGCUCUGUUGUUGGUGAAGAAGGAUAGAGGUAGUAACUGGCCUUUAUUUGACGGUAAUCAACCAGAAAGUCACGGCUAACUACGUGCAAGCAGCCGGGUAAUCUGAGCGGGCUGGCAAGGC